AAUCAUUCGUUGUUAUAUUGAUUCGUUUGUUGUCUUGCAUGCGUCUCUUGGGUUUGUUUAUGUCUCCUGAUUCAACUUGGUUAUGUCUCUGUCUUUGUUUGUUAAUCAUUCUUGCGAUAGAAAAAAGUCUGUCUUUGUUUAUAUCGAUUAGUAUUUGUUUCUUCAUGCGUCUCAUGCGUUGCUUGUGCUUGUUUGUGUCUCGUGAUUCAACAGAUGAUGUCUCUGUGUCUCAAUAUAUCAAUCGGGUGUGCUGGAUAGCUUACGUCUCUGUCUUUGUUUAAGUCGAUCAGUUCUUGUGUUUGUUUAUGUAUACUGAUUGAAGAGAUGACGUCUUAGUAUUUGUUUCUUAGUCUUUCUUGUGUCGGAAUCGUUCUAAUGUUGAUUAUGUUUCUUGCGUUUCCUUUUCAGAUGGACGGAUAAAGAGACUUGAAGUUUCUUCAAAGAAGAGGUCUGUCGUUUGGACGGAUGAAAAAGCAAUGAGCAUUUCAGGUUAGUAGCCUUUGAACCGUGAAUUGAUUGUGAAUCUGGUUAGAUAGAAAUUAGAUAGAUAGUAGUUAGUUAGAAUUGAAAUGAGUUAGAUAAAUGUCAAACCGAUAGUCAAAAGUUGAAGUGUGAUUAAUGAGUUAGAUAGCAAUGAAUGUUAGAUAAAUGAGUUAGCUAAAUGUCAAAUCCAUGUGGUUGUGGGUGUGAUCAAAGCGUUAAACGCUUUCUCUCUUCUAUUAAACAGACUCCUUCUCUCUUUCUCUUUCAAACUCGUUUUCCUUUCUAUUAAACACACCCCUUAUUCCAUCUCUCUUCUUAGAUAAGUUCAGAUAUGGAUUCCAAUCCAUAUAGGAGUUUUAAUUUUGUUGAUCUUCUUCAAAGUAAACAAGAAACUGACAUCGGUUCAGAAUCCUUUACUAUUCCUUUAUUUGGGACGCAAGUAACUGAAGGUUCAAACUUCGAACCAGACAGUCCUGUGGAGAGUAGAUGACGACGCACGUGGACUCCAACAGAUGGCAAUGUCCUCAUCAGCUCUUGGUUAAAUACCAGUAAAGACCCUGUGGUAGGGAAUGAGCAACGGUCGGUUGCUUUCUGGAAAAGGAUAGCAGCCUACUACUCGUCUAGUCCUAAGAUCGCUGAGUGUGACAGAAGAGAGGCAUCACAGUGUAAGCAAAGGUGGCACAAGAUCAACGACAUGGUGGGCAAGUUUUGUAGACCUUUUGAAGCAGCAACUCGUGAGAAAACCAGUGGGCAAAACGACACUGAUGUUCUCAAACAUGCCCACGAGAUCUUCUUCAACAACUACAAAAAGAAGUUCACAUUAGAACAUGCUUGGAAAGAGCUUAGACAUGACCAGAAGUGGUCUGAUCUUUCUUCUGCUUGCUCUCAAGGAGAUUCCAAAAGGAAGAAGUUAGAUAACGGCUCGCACUUAGCCUGCCCUCUGGCUGACGAUGGAGCGACUCGACCCCCUGAUGUUAAGGCUGCAAAAGCCCGUGGAAAGAAACAAGUCAGUGAUGGGAAAGACCUUGAUGAGUUUCAGAAAAUGUGGAGAAUCAAGCAAGAGGAUUUGGUUAUCAAGGAGAAGCUGUCGAAGAUGAAGCUUCUGGACAGGCUAAUGGCAAAACAAGAAACUCUAGAUGAUGGUGAAGAAGCUCUGAAGAAGAAGUUAUUUACGAGUUGUUGCUGUCUAAUUAGGUCUUGUGAUUGUUCUUGUUCCCCGUUUGGUUCUUAAGUUUUAACUUUAGAUUUUAUUGUUCUUGUUCCUGUUCUAUUUCUUAAGUUCAGUUUCGGUCUAGUUCUUAUAAUGGUGUGGUUAUUGAUGAUAUAAAAUGUUUUAAGUUAUCAUGUUCUUGUUGAGUUAUCUUUAAAGUUAAUGUUCUUGUCUCUUUACAGGAUGCUUGCAUGACAGAUUGCAGCCUUGGACUGAAGCGAGUCACGGAUGCUUGGGUGACAGAGCGCAGCCUUGGACUGAAGCGACAAAGAGAUGUUUUGUAGUGUCAAGUUGAGUGUAUGUAUGUGUCAAGUUGAGUGUAUGUGUCUUGUAAUGUCAACUUGAAGCUGGAUUUGUCUGUCACAGACUGCUGGCAUUGUAUGUCACGGAGCAUGUAUCUAUAUGCAUUGUAUCAAGAGAGAUGUGUUUGAUGCAUCCUCUUUAUUAUAACAACAACAACAACAAGC
rnacentral:lncRNA from 1 species